rnacentral:rRNA from 1 species
UACGAAGGGGGCUAGCGUUGUUCGGAAUUACUGGGCGUAAAGCGCGCGUAGGCGGCUUUGUAAGUUAGAGGUGAAAGCCCGGGGCUCAACCCCGGAACAGCCUUUAAGACUGCAUCGCUAGAAUCCGGGAGAGGUGAGUGGAAUUCCGAGUGUAGAGGUGAAAUUCGUAGAUAUUCGGAAGAACAUCAGUGGCGAAGGCGGCUCACUGGACCGGUAUUGACGCUGAGGUGCGAAAGCGUGGGGAGCAAACAGG